GGUAAAAUGGCUGAGAAUAAGCAUUAGACUGUAAAUCUAAAGACAGAGGUGACCCUCUUUUUACCA
rnacentral:tRNA from 1 species